UCAUUUUACUCUUCUUAUUAUUUAAAAAUGUUAAAAAGUGAAGAAUUUUUAAAAAGUGUUAAAAAUUUUUUAAUGCCAAAAAUGCCAUCUCAAAAAAAGUGCCACCUGGGGCAGACUGCCCCACCCUAGCUACGUCAAUGGCUUAGAGUAGCAUUUCUAAUGAAAUACCAUUUUAAACCAUCAGGCCUGUACAUGCUUCUUAGAGAAAACAUGAAUGCCAGAAGAUAUAGGGAUGAAAUCUUAAAAUUCAUUAUUCACUCAUAUGCAGAUGCAAUAGAGAUUCUUUUAUACUAUGGGACAAUAAUUCUCAGCCAUACGAAAUCAGGUUGGUACAGCAAUGUCUUCAAGAACAAACCAUCAUUUAUAUUAGGAGUGGGCAACCCCUGGAUCACAUGUGGCCCUCAAGCAAGAUUUGUCCAGUCUGUCAUUAAAUUUCUCUGUUGCAUAUUAA
rnacentral:lncRNA from 1 species